rnacentral:rRNA from 1 species
GACGUAGGGGGCCAGCGUUGUUCGGAAUUACUGGGUGUAAAGGGUUCGUAGGCGGUGUGGCAAGUCGGGAGUGAAAUCUCUGGGCUCAACUCAGAGACUGCUUCCGAAACUGCUGUGCUGGAGUGUGGGAGAGGCGCGUGGAAUUGCAGGUGUAGCGGUGAAAUGCGUAGAUAUCUGCAGGAACACCCGUGGCGAAAGCGGCGCGCUGGACCACUACUGACGCUGAGGAACGAAAGCUAGGGGAGCAAGCAGG